GAUUAUGGUGAGCUGGGCAAGGCUGACUUCUUGUCAGACCGUUUCCUAUGUAGCGGUAGUUCCUACCCUUGUUCCAGCUCACCACCCAA
rnacentral:antisense_RNA from 1 species